rnacentral:rRNA from 1 species
CUGACCGUGCUAAGGUAGCGUAAUCAUUUGCCCCUUAAUUAGUGGCCUGUAUGAACGGACAAACGAGAGAAUAGCUGUCUCCCUAUUAUAAAUGAAAUCUUAUCUUCAGGUGAAGAAGCCUGAAUCUGUAUAAAAGACAAGAAGACCUCGUCGAGCUUUAACAAUAUUUAAUCACCAACUACUCCCCUCAGAACGCGUAACCCCUAUAAAAGUUUUUGUUGGGGCAACACUGGAUAAAGUAACCUCCAUAAAACUAAAGACCCCGCGUCACCCCGCAGACCCCCCACAGAUCUUAGGCACCAGCUACCGCAGGGAUAACAGGCUAAUUCUCUACAAGAGCCCAAAUCGACUAGAGAGGUUGGCACCUCGAUGUUGGCUUAAGAUUCCCCCCAGACGCAGCAGUCUACACGGUAGGUUUGUUCAACCUUUAAAAUCUUACGUGAUCUGAGUUCAGACCGG